GGCUCAAUGGUCUAGAGGUUAUAAGCGUUUGAGUGAAGACGAAGGUCACGGGUUCGAAUCCCGUGUAAGGGGUC
rnacentral:tRNA from 1 species